rnacentral:rRNA from 1 species
AUGGAUGGCGGCGGCGGCGGCGGCGAGUAUGGCAAUCUCAACGACCCCAUCCCUUCCCCCACAAGAUCUGCGAAUGCGGAUGGCGGCGGGGAAGACGUCGUGGAGGGGAGCCCCCCGCCGUUCAAAAUCCGCAAGCUGGGCGCUCCGGGUACGAGUUCAAUUCUCGCUGAGGAUCCGAGUGACGGCAAGAUCGGCGAGCAGAUGGAUUCGAUGCCUGCCAGAGGCGGGCAUGUGGAUACAGAGAUGUCCGAAUUCAAGUGUGGCGAGGUUGCAGAUGAAGAUCUUCGCAAGGACAAGAUGAACGGAGGCAAAUCAAGUCAGCAGAUCAAGAAUCCAGGGGAGGUCGAGAUGGACCUAGGCAAACCAAAUUCCAUCAUCUCUGAGCAGGAGAUCAAGGAGCUCUGUGCGCAGAUGGACGAGAUGGUCGCUUUUAUGAAUUACAGGAUCGUACCUUCAGCCCCACUCAUCUGCAGCAGCAGCAGCAGAAGCAGCAAGGAGACGAAAGAUGAACAUGACAAGGCACCACAGUCGGGGAUUGACGGCAUCUUACAGCGGCUAGCUGAUGUGCGCCGUGACAUGUCCAAGCUCAAAUUGGAACUGACCCCUUUCCGGCACAAGUAUCCUUAUGAGAAGGUGCUGACUUCUUCAGAGGAGAGGGAGAAGAGGCUCAAGUCCAGGCAGGAGUAUGAGAAGAUGGAUAAUAAGGAGAAGGCCAGGAGGCAGAUGGAGUUCGACGCGAGUGACUUCGAGGGCUACUGUCAAGGCUUGACAUCUUUUGUUGAACACUUUGAAUUCAUAACCCUAGUGAGCCCCAUGCACUUUACACACUACACGCCCAGACAGAUCCCACACCAUCUUGCUACCUACGGGACCACCUUGCAGAUCUUGUCUUUUAAAAUUGCCAACAUCGAUUUGGACCUCAAAUGGCCACUCCUGGAAUGGCCACUCCAAGUGUAUGGUGUCGUCGCCGCACGAGACAAUGUGGAUCGUAGACGCAAUAUUCUCUUCUUGAGGGGAAGGGGGAACUUCCAAGAGAUCACCCAAGAAAAACCCUUCUUGUGCUUGACUGGCCCAUCUCGUGCAAUUUUGGCCAAGGACCAUGUUGACCUCGAAGUCCAACUAAAACUUAAAGGCCCAACAGAGUCUGAAGACAGAGUGUUGAUCACUAAAAGAUGCCAGUACAGUGGCUAUCAUACCGAUAACGGUUUAUAUACUCUUACCUUGAAUAACCGUCUUUGCACAACAGAGUUAAGCCUGCAGCAACUGUACUGUCAAUCGGUCCAAGCAACUUUCUUGCGUGUCGGUGGCUUUGUUAAAGGCAAUACAUCCCCUUUCAUUCAUGGAGGCCGAGUUGCCUGCUCCUCACCACCUCAUGGAGGCCAAGAAACUGCCCCGCCCACCCAAGUUGUGUUGCUUGAUUCUCGUUAUUGUGAUGGUGGGAAGAUGCCAAUAGGCGAAGAAGAUGGUUACCUUGAUCUGUCAAGGCAUGUUGUUUCUGUUGAAUUAAGGAGAGUUAGAGACGUUUCUGAAGAAUUGGAAGAAACCUUGAAUGUUUUCAUAGAAGCCUACUCAGACUCUCCUCCAGACUCUCCUCCUAAAGUUUCUGCGAAAGCUGAUUUCAUGGUCAAGCCUCAGUAUUGCGGCAUAAGUGAACAUGAAUGUGUCCUUGCCGGCUCUACGGUGAAGAUUACCAUUGCUUGGUCACCUAUUCUUCGAACCAACAAGGUUAUUCUAUGA